rnacentral:lncRNA from 1 species
GUAGUAGAUGAAAUGUCCAGAUUCAAAUCGGUGCGCAGUUGAUUCCUGGCCGCACUAUAUGCGGGGCAGUUUUUCUGUGGAAGGGAUUGUUUUGCCUCGCCAUUUAGUACUCUUACUAAGUGGAAAGUGGCGUCAUCUGUUGACAAAAAAAGAAAUUCGGGUUAAUUGGGUAGGGCCCCAAGUGGACGGUCGCCCUUCGUUUCCAUCGUACAAUUUUAGCAUUUAUCAACCGUAUUUAAUCUAUUAAUCGAAAUUGGAAAAGUCGACUCCGAUAUCCAAAAUAAAUAAAAAAUUUUGAAAAUGACCAAAAGUUACCGAUUCGAUUAUUAAUUUUUUCUUUUAUUUUUAUCAAUUCUCGGAUCACAAGCGUUUAAACCUCGAUUUUCUUCGGUAAUAUGGCCUAUAAAAUUUGGCUUAGUGUGGUUAUCGACAAUUUUGUACGGUCGGUCCGCGGUUCUAAAGAAACUUGGUCUUAAAUCGUACCGAUAAAAUCCGUACUUUAUAUAAAAUCCCGCCUUUCUCUCUCUCUCUUUCCCACGCAUUUCCGCACUAUAUACCAGGUAAAAUUAUGGUAAAAAAGUUCAAAUUUCGCGUAUUAUCAUCAUCAUUAUUCGACUCUUACAGGUAAUUAAAUUUUAGAUAUUUAACCGAGAAUGUGGAUGCUUAUAAAAUUCAUUUCGCCUUCCAUCGGGCCGAAGUCCGAUGGCCGGAAUAGAUUAGGAACUCGGCUAAAUGGCCAAUUUAUUCUAGGGGUCGAUGGAUUAUAGUAGUUAUUUAUCCAGUCGGUGAAGCCAAAAAUUGGUUAAAUUAUAAUAUUGUAGCCAUUUACCUCAGCGUAAAUAAUAAUUUGCCAAGAUGAUACGCUAAAAAUCCUGAUUCCAGAAAAUGCAAAUGCGUAUUAAUGACGUAACUCAGUGAUUUCCAAAGUGUGGGGCGCGCGAGAACUAACAAAAAUUAUCAUUUUUGAGGCGAAUAAAUUCAAAUUGUUGAGGGAAAAAAAUGAAUGGCCAGUAACCAAAUCUCCAAUCAGCCUUCGAUUCGAGACGAUCUGUGCCGAAAAAUAAGUCCAUUCACGCCAUUAAAUAUUAUGCUGUGUUUUAAACUUGUAUUCUAUUUUUCUCUUUGGUGAGAUUUGUUUGGUGGUGUUAAAAAUUACCACACCAUCAUAAAUAUAUACACCCUAUAUUUUUAUAUAUAAGAACUUUGUUUAUACAAAAUAUG